ensembl:lncRNA
CCUGGAUCAGAACAGGAAGUAGGGUCACCUGACAGGAAGCACCUGAGAUGAUAUAUAUAACAGCAACACACAGACAGACACAGAGAGAGACAGACAGAAUGCCGGGUGGCUGGACUGUUCUGGUAUGUGUGGCGCUGUGGGGGUGCUGGGGGGGUGAGACAGCGGAGUGUGAAUGUAAGGCCUGUAUUGAUUUAGACAAGCUGGACACCCUGCUGAAUAAGACUGGACAGCAGAAUGCGCAGCAGAAAGACCUGGUCCUUUUGAACGGCUCCUCCUUCAACCAAAUCAGAGUCAACCGCAAGCUCCAUGCCUGUGUCCUCAUGGAGAUCCUCAGAUUCUUCCGGAGCCUUCUGAAGAGAAGAUCUGAGAAUGACCUGCCUCACUUCCUUCAGAAGAUGGAGCACUGUGUCCGCAAGGACAAGAACCAGAAUUUCUGUCCAGCGCUGAAGAGAGAAGCCAGCCGCCGUCGUUCUAAACAGGGCUCCAGGGGUUUGGCUAUGCUUCAGAUCUAUCAGCUGGAUCAGGCCUACAACAAGCUGGACAACGAGAGUUUCCAGGAACAGGUGAUGGAAGAACUCCAGGGUCUGAAGGCUUACGUCACAGGCAGCGGCUUCAAGCAUUACCAGCUGAUCUGAAACCAUGAUCGGCGGCCAUCUUGCUCCUCAGACUCAAUCUUCCUCUUUGCAAACCUUCUUAUUAAAUUCAUCAUGUGAUAAACGGCUUGUUCUAACAGUA